UAUAGUUGCAGUGAUGAACGGUCGUGUUUGCGGAGAAAAGUAAAUUUAAAACAACUUAAAGAAACACUCGUAGAGAGUUUGCCCCAUUAACUUUCGUGUAGACGUGCUAAGCUAUAAAUUAAACAAUAAUCGUCUGAUUUGCUACAGUCCAAUUAAAGUCUUCCUAAUAAAUUUGUGAGAGUGAAUUAAAAAGUUGUACGUAACUCCGUUUUUCCCUCUCGCACUUUAUGUGCGUUUGUAUAUGUGACUCUGCGUAACUGUGCCUGUGUGCGUGUAUGAGUGCCUGUGGGUGCAUUUGUUUAUUCCUACCGCCAAAUACGAUUUCUUACUAGAACUUGCCACGCGCUGCGUUGCUGGGCGGUGCUGUCAUUACCCCACCCACCCUUCAUUAGCACAUUGUGCAAAAAAAAAUCCGAAAGAAAAUCGAAACUCCCGCACUUUAACUGGAUAAUGAGUAGUCGGAACAACGUCAAAACGAAAACAAAAACAACGGUACACAAAGGAAACUGAAUUAAAGCAUAGCAAGAAAAUGCGAUUAAUGCUUGACACGAAUAUUUAUUCAAAAUAGAUCAAACACUUGUAUAUAUGUAUGAGUGUGAGUGUAUGUUUUUGUACUUUUACAUAACGAACGCGUCGCAUAACAUUGAACCUAACUGUUUACCAAAUUGUUGAGCAAUUUGUAUACGAACAAUAAAUGAAAUAAAAGAAAUCACGACGAGCUAAAUCCAAUUUGAGCUUAAACUUAACUGUAAACAUUUUGUGCACAUUGUUUGGACGUUUUGCGCCCACUGUUCCGAGCUGUAAACAUAUUCAAGAGUAAAAUAUAUAAAAGUGCUUUAAAUUUGGUUUAUAAAAAGACUGGAUGUUUAAAAAUAAGAAAAGAAAUCGCUGUAACUCGACCUAAAAUGUAAACUGUUUAAGUUUACAAAUGGUACAAUAACAAUAAAAUCAACAACAACAACURCUACAAUGGUUGUAAUUUAGCUAAUAAGCAAUUCACGGACUCGACAAACGAAUUGAACUUGAUUUGAAAACAGCAUUGUCUGUGGCAUCAGCUGCUAAUCGACUACAACAACAAACAUAAAUCAUCAUCAACGGAAAACAAACACCCUACAACAGCAGCUAGAAUAGUGUGAGCUGGUAGCUAUUGUGAUUGAGCUGCAAACAAGCGAACGCAUUAAUCAUACGCCGCGUGCGCCAUAUUUGAAGCAGCCCAGUGAGAAGUGUCCUAAAACGAAAUAUGUUUGCGAAAAAGCCGCACAAUGCGCCGCGCACUUGACACGCGUUGAGUUACCGUUA